UGGGGAAUAUUGGACAAUGGGCGCAAGCCUGAUCCAGCAAUGCCGCGUGUGUGAAGAAGGCCUUCGGGUUGUAAAGCACUUUAGGCUGGGAAGAAAAAAUCGGCGCUAACAUCGCCGGUCUUGACGGUACCAGAAGAAUAAGCAACGGCUAACUCUGUGCCAGCAGCCGCGGUAAUACAGAGGUUGCAAGCGUUAAUCGGAUUUACUGGGCGUAAAGCGUGUGUAGGUGGCUGUACAAGUCGGUUGUGAAAUCCCCGGGCUCAACCUGGGAACUGCUUCCGAGACUGUACGACUAGAGAUCGGUAGAGGGCGGUGGAAUUUCCGGUGUAGCGGUGAAAUGCGUAGAUAUCGGAAGGAACAUCAAUGGCGAAGGCAGCCGCCUGGGCCUGAUCUGACACUGAGACACGAAAGCGUGGGGAUCAAAC
rnacentral:rRNA from 1 species